GGCGGCAUGGAUUAGGCAGGCAAGUCGAACGCUUGUAGCAAUACAGGAGUGGCGAAAGGGUGAGUAACACGUGAGUGACAUGCCCUCUAGUUGGGAACAACGCCGGGAAACUGGCGCUAAUACCGAAUGUGGAUGACGGUUCGCAUGGGCUGUCAUCUAAAGAUUUAUCGCUAGAGGAUUGGCUCGCGUCCGAUUAGCUAGUUGGCGGGGUAAUGGCCCACCAAGGCGACGAUCGGUAGGUGGUCUGAGAGGAUGGUCACCCACACUGGGACUGAGACACUGCCCAGACUCCUACGGGAGGCUGCAGUCGAGAAUCUUCCGCAAUGGGCGAAAGCCUGACGGAGCAAUGCCGCGUGCCGGAUGAAGGUCUUCGGAUUGUAAACGGCUGUCACUGGGGACAAAUCAAAUGACGGUACCCAGGGAGGAAGCCACGGCUAACUACGUGCCAGCAGCCGCGGUAAUACGUAGGUGGCGAGCGUUGUUCGGAUUUAUUGGGCGUAAAGGGUCCGCAGGGGGCUGAUUAAGUCUGACGUGAAAUCUCACGGCUCAACCGUGAAACUGCGUUGGAAACUGAUUGGCUAGAGUGUCGGAGAGGUGAUUGGAAUUCCAGGUGUAGCGGUGGAAUGCGUAGAUAUCUGGAGGAACACCGAGAGCGUAGGCAGAUCACUGGCCGACAACUGACCCUCAUGGACGAAAGUAUGGGGAGCAAACAGGAUUAGAUACCCUGGUAGUCCAUACCGUAAACUUUGUAGACUAGAUGUGGGGGGAUUCCAACCCCUCCGUGUCUGAGCUAACGCGUUAAGUCUACCGCCUGGGAACUACGGCCGCAAGGCUAAAACUCAAAGGAAUUGACGGGGGCCCGCACAAGCGGUGGAGCAUGUGGCUUAAUUCGAGGCAACGCGAAGAACCUUACCCAGGCUUGACAUAUAGGGGACCGGCUGUGAAAGCAGUCCUCUCUUCGGAGCCCUUAUACAGGUGCUGCAUGGCUGUCGUCAGCUCGUGCUGUGAAGUGUUCGGUUAAGUCCGGCAACGAGCGCAACCCACGUGACUAUUUGCCAGCGGGUAAUGCCGGGAACUAUAGUCAGACUGCCCGUGUUAAGCGGGAGGAAGGCGUGGAUGACGUCAAGUCAGUAUGGCCUUUAUGCCUGGGGCUGCACACGUGCUACAAUGGCCGGUACAAUGGGAAGCAAUGCUGCGAAGCGGAGCGGAUCCUGAAAACCGGUCUUAGUUCGGAUUGGAGUCUGCAACUCGACUCCAUGAAGCCGGAAUCGCUAGUAAAGGCGUAUCAGCUACGACGCCUUGAAUACGUUCCCGGGCCUUGUACACACCGCCCGUCACAUCAUGGGAGCUGGUCGCACCCGAAGUCGUUCACCCAACCGUCAAAGGAGGGAGGCGCCUAAGGUGAGGUUAGUGACUGGGAUGAAGUCGUAACAAGGUA
rnacentral:rRNA from 1 species